UGGAGUUCAGACGAUUAUGACUUCCAUCUUGCUAGUAGACCCUCUCCAUUAACUCUUUCUCUUUCUGAUUGAGUGUAAGCUGCUAUAUGAAGGGAUCCACAAGAUGAAUACUUAAGGGUGACCUCUGGUCAACAGCCAGCAAGGAACUGAAUCCCUCAGACCCACAACUCACCAGAAACUGAAGCUGAAGCAGAUUCUUCCUCAGUCAAGCUUCAGGUGCCCAGCUGGAUUGAUAGAGGAGACCAACCACACCCUUUGCAGCACAGCACCUGGAGAGGAACUGCUGCCAUGACCAUAGAGGACACCCUCUGGAUACAACGCCAGACUUGAUGUGGGACUGACCAACCUAUGGACCCCAAGCACCACAACCCAGACCUGCUCAGUGC